rnacentral:rRNA from 1 species
GGGGCUAGCGUUGCUCGGAAUUACUGGGCGUAAAGGGCGCGUAGGCGGACAGCUUAGUCAGAGGUGAAAGCCCAGGGCUCAACCUUGGAACUGCCUUUGAUACUGGCUGUCUUGAGUUUGGGAGAGGUGUGUGGAACUCCGAGUGUAGAGGUGAAAUUCGUAGAUAUUCGGAAGAACACCAGUGGCGAAGGCGACACACUGGCCCAAUACUGACGCUGAGGCGCGAAAGCGUGGGGAGCAAACAGGAUUAGAUACCCUGGUAGUCCACGCCGUAAACGAUGAGUGCUAGUUGU